GUUGAAACACCAGUUCCCGUACGAUCAGGGAAGGUAAGCAACUGCGAACCUGGUCAGUACCGAGAUUGGUGACCGCUUGUGAAUACCAGGCGCUG